rnacentral:rRNA from 1 species
CUAAGAAUCUUCCGCAAUGGGCGAAAGCCUGACGGAGCGAUGCCGCGUGAUCGAAGAAGGUCGAGAGAUUGUAAAGAUCUUUUCUCCAUGAGGAAUAAGCCGAGGAGGGAAUGCCUUGGUGAUGACGUUAGUGGAGGAAUAAGCCCCGGCUAAUUACGU